rnacentral:rRNA from 1 species
UACAGAGGUCUCAAGCGUUGUUCGGAUUCAUUGGGCGUAAAGGGCGCGUAGGCUGCGGGGCAAGUCGGGUGUGAAAUCUCAGAGCUCAACUCUGAAACUGCACUCGAUACUGCUUUGCUUGAGGACUGGAGAGGAGAUUGGAAUUCACGGUGUAGCAGUGAAAUGCGUAGAUAUCGAUGAGGAAGACCAGUGGCGAAGGCGGAUCUCUGGACAGUUCCUGACGCUGAGGCGCGAAGGCCAGGGGAGCAAACGGG